rnacentral:rRNA from 1 species
UACAGAGGUCUCAAGCGUUGUUCGGAUUCAUUGGGCGUGAAAGGGUGCGUAGGCGGCGCGGUAAGUCGGGUGUGAAAUCUUGGAGCUUAACUCCGAAACUGCAUUCGAUACUGCCGUGCUUGAGGACUGGAGAGGAGACUGGAAUUUACGGUGUAGCGGUGAAAUGCGUAGAUAUCGUAAGGAAGACCAGUGGCGAAGGCGGGUCUCUGGACAGUUCCUGACGCUGAGGCACGAAGGCCAGGGGGAGCAAACGGGG